GUGAAUCAUCAAAUUUUUGAACGCAAAUUGCACUCUCUUCUGAGAGUAUGCCUGUUUGGGGGUCAGCCUCAAAAAAUCUCCAUCGUUGCUGUUUCACAGUGGCGUUCGUCGGAAAUUGGGUUAUUUUAACUCUUUGGUUUAAGCGACUUAAAAUUUUUUUUACGAUUCCAUGAAGGUUUCUAAGUUUUUUUUCUUUACACGUCUAAGGUAUCGAUCUUUAUUAUUUGUGGCCGUU
rnacentral:misc_RNA from 1 species